CUACGAAGGGGGCUAGCGUUGCUCGGAAUCACUGGGCGUAAAGGGCGCGUAGGCGGCCGAUUAAGUCGGGGGUGAAAGCCUGUGGCUCAACCACAGAAUUGCCUUCGAUACUGGUUGGCUUGAGACCGGAAGAGGACAGCGGAACUGCGAGUGUAGAGGUGAAAUUCGUAGAUAUUCGCAAGAACACCAGUGGCGAAGGCGGCUGUCUGGUCCGGUUCUGACGCUGAGGCGCGAAAGCGUGGGGAGCAAACAGGAUUAGAAACCCUAGUAGUCC
rnacentral:rRNA from 1 species